GAUUUCUGGCUUGAAACAUUUUGCCGGCCACGGUUUCGUGUGUUAGUGCUUGAUGUUCUGGCCAUCCUUCCAAUUGCUAUUUAUCUUUCUUCAUUGAUAGGUAGAUAGUAUUGGAUCUUUUACUUUGAAAAAAUUAGAGUGUUUCAAGCAGGCUUAAUGCUAUGAAUACAUUAGCAUGGAAUAAUAAUUUAGGACUUCGGUUCUAUUUUGUUGGUUUCUAGGACUGAAGUAAUGAUUGAUAGGGAUAGUUGGGGGUGCUAGUAUUCAGCGGCCAGAGGUGAAAUUCUCGGAUUCGCUGAAGACUAACUUAUGCGAAAGCAUU
rnacentral:rRNA from 1 species